AGCAGCCGCGGUAAUUCCAGCUCCAAUAGCGUAUAUUAAAGUUGUUGCAGUUAAAAAGCUCGUAGUUGAAUUUCGGGAUCAAUUUAUUGGUCGUGCUAUUGUACGUACUGGUAUUAUUGAUUCCUACCUUCUGACGAACCAUGAUGUCAUUAAUUUGGUGUCAUGGGGAAUCAGGACUGUUACUUUGAAAAAAUUAGAGUGUUUAAAGCAGGCUCACGCUUGAAUACAUUAGCAUGGAAUAACGAAAUAGGACGUUUGAUUCUAUUUUGUUGGUUUCUAGGAUCGACGUA
rnacentral:rRNA from 1 species